UACGUAGGGGGCGAGCGUUGUCCGGAUUCAUUGGGCGUAAAGAGCUCGUAGGCGGCUUGGCAAGUCGGGUGUGAAAACUUCAGGCUCAACCUGGAGCGGCCACUCGAUACUGCCAUGGCUUGAGUCCGGUAGGGGACCACGGAAUUCCUGGUGUAGCGGUGAAAUGCGCAGAUAUCAGGAGGAACACCGGUGGCGAAGGCGGUGGUCUGGGCCGGUACUGACGCUGAGGAGCGAAAGCUAGGGGAGCAAACAGG
rnacentral:rRNA from 1 species